UACGUAGGAGGCAAGCGUUGUCCGGAAUUACUGGGCGUAAAGCGCGUGUAGGUGGUGGGACAAGUCUGCUGUGAAAGCGCCUGGCUUAACCGGGCGAGGUCGGCGGAAACUGCCUCACUUGAGGACGGUAGAGGGGGGUGGAAUUCCCGGUGUAGCGGUGAAAUGCGCAGAUAUCAGGAGGAACACCGAUGGCGAAGGCAGGUCUCUGGGCCACUACUGACGCUGAGAAGCGAAAGCAUGGGGAGCGAACAGG
rnacentral:rRNA from 1 species